rnacentral:rRNA from 1 species
UAGGGAAUCUUCGGCAAUGGACGGAAGUCUGACCGAGCAACGCCGCGUGAGUGAAGAAGGUUUUCGGAUCGUAAAGCUCUGUUGUUAGAGAAGAACGUUGGUAGGAGUGGAAAAUCUACCAAGUGACGGUAACUAACCAGAAAGGGACGGCUAACUACGUGCCAGCAGCCGCGGUAAUACGUAGGUCCCGAGCGUUGUCCGGAUUUAUUGGGCGUAAAGCGAGCGCAGGCGGUUCUUUAAGUCUGAAGUUAAAGGCAGUGGCUUAACCAUUGUACGCUUUGGAAACUGGAGGACUUGAGUGCAGAAGGAGAGAGUGGAAUUCCAUGUGUAGCGGUGAAAUGCGUAGAUAUAUGGAGGAACACCGGUGGCGAAAGCGGCUCUCUGGUCUGUAACUGACGCUGAGGCUCGAAAGCGUGGGGAGCAAACAGGAUUAGAUACCCUGGUAGUCCACGCCGUAAACGAUGAGUGCUAGGUGUUAGGCCCUUUCCGGGGCUUAGUGCCGCAGCUAACGCAUUAAGCACUCCGCCUGGGGAGUACGACCGCAAGGUUG